rnacentral:rRNA from 1 species
AGUGAACGCUGGCGGUAGGCCUAACACAUGCAAGUCGAACGGCAGCACAGUAAGAGCUUGCUCUUACGGGUGGCGAGUGGCGGACGGGUGAGGAAUACAUCGGAAUCUACUUUUUCGUGGGGGAUAACGUAGGGAAACUUACGCUAAUACCGCAUACGACCUACGGGUGAAAGCAGGGGAUCUUCGGACCUUGCGCGAUUGAAUGAGCCGAUGUCGGAUUAGCUAGUUGGCGGGGUAAAGGCCCACCAAGGCGACGAUCCGUAGCUGGUCUGAGAGGAUGGUCAGCCACACUGGAACUGAGACACGGACCAGACUCCUACGGGAGGAAGCAGUGGGGAAUAUUAGACAAUGGGCGCAAGCCUGAUCCAGCCAUACCGCGUGGGUGAAGAAGGCCUUCGGGUUGUAAAGCCCUUUUGUUGGGAGAGAAAAGCAGCAGGUUAAUACCCCGCUGUUCUGACGGUACCCAAAGAAUAAGCACCGGCUAACUUCGUG